rnacentral:misc_RNA from 2 species
CAACCCUCAAGCCCCUUUGGACUUGGUGUUGGGGACCGGCGAUGGACAACCCGUCCUGUCGCCGCCCCCUAAAUGACUUGGCGGCCUCGUCGCGGCCCUCCUCUGCGUAGUAGCACACACCUCGCAACAGGAGCCCGGCGAAUGGCCACUGCCGUAAAACCCCCAACUUUUUUCAG